AGCGAACGCUGGCGGCAGGCCUAAUACAUGCAAGUCGAACGCACCUUCGGGUGAGUGGCGGACGGGUGAGUAACACGUGGGAACGUGCCCUUUGGUUCGGAAUAAUCCGGGGAAACCUGGCCUAAUACCGGAUGUGCCCUUCGGGGAAGGAUUAUCGCCAUUGGAGCGGCCCGCGUCUGAUUAGCUAGUUGGUGAGGUAACGGCCCACCAAGGCGACGAUCAGUAGCUGGUCUGAGAGGAUGAUCAGCCACACUGGGACUGAGACACGG
rnacentral:rRNA from 1 species